rnacentral:rRNA from 1 species
GACGAACGCUGGCGGCGUGCUUAACACAUGCAAGUCGAACGGAAAGGCCCUGCUUUUGUGGGGUGCUCGAGUGGCGAACGGGUGAGUAACACGUGAGUAACCUGCCCUUGACUUUGGGAUAACUUCAGGAAACUGGGGCUAAUACCGGAUAGGAGCUCCUGCUGCAUGGUGGGGGUUGGAAAGUUUCGGCGGUUGGGGAUGGGCUCGCGGCUUAUCAGCUUGUUGGUGGGGUAGUGGCUUACCAAGGCUUUGACGGGUAGCCGGCCUGAGAGGGUGACCGGCCACAUUGGGACUGAGAUACGGCCCAGACUCCUACGGGAGGCAGCAGUGGGGAAUAUUGCACAAUGGGCGGAAGCCUGAUGCAGCAACGCCGCGUACGGGAUGACGGCCUUCGGGUUGUAAACCGCUUUCGCCUGUGACGAAGCGUGAGUGACGGUAAUGGGUAAAGAAGCACCGGCUAACUACGUG